GACGUAGGAGGCGAGCGUUAUCCGGAUUCACUGGGCGUAAAGCGCAUGUAGGCGGUUCGAUAAGUCCGCUGUUAAAGCCCCCGGCUCAACUGGGGGAGGUCAGUGGAGACUAUAGGACUUGAGGGCAACAGAGGCACGUGGAACUCCCGGUGUAGCGGUGGAAUGCGUAGAGAUCGGGAAGAAUACCAGUGGCGAAGGCGACGUGCUGGGUUGCGACUGACGCUGAGAUGCGAAAGCGUGGAGAGCAAACAGG
rnacentral:rRNA from 1 species